UACGGGGGGAGCAAGCGUUGUUCGGAAUCACUGGGCGUAAAGGGCGUGUAGGCGGUCAAGUAAGUGGAAUGUGAAAGCCCCCGGCUUACCCGGGGAUCUGCAUCCCAAACUGCUUGGCUUGAGUACGGGAGAGGAUGGAGGAAUUCCUGGUGUAGCGGUGAAAUGCGUAGAUAUCAGGAGGAACACCGGUGGCGAAGGCGUCCAUCUGGCCCGAUACUGACGCUGAGGCGCGAAAGCUAGGGGAGCGAACGGG
rnacentral:rRNA from 1 species